rnacentral:rRNA from 1 species
UGAGUACGAGCUGCUACGGCAGCGAAGUGGGUGAUGUCAAGCUUCCAAGAAAAGCCCUAUACCCGUUAAGGCAUGAUGGCCUGUACCCGAAACCGACACAGGUGGGGUGGUAGAGAAUACCGAGGGGCGCGAGAUAACUCUCUCUAAGGAACUCGGCAAAAUGGCCCCGUAACUUCGGGAGAAGGGGUGCCACCGCAAGGUGGUCGCAGUGAAGAGGCCCAGGCGACUGUUUACCAAAAACACAGGUCUCCGCUAAGUCGCAAGACGAUGUAUGGGGGCUGACGCCUGCCCAGUGCCGGAAGGUUAAGGAAGCUGGUCAGCGUAAGCGAAGCUAGCGACUGAAGCCCCGGUGAACGGCGGCCGUAACUAUAACGGUCCUAAGGUAGCGAAAUUCCUUGUCGGGUAAGUUCCGACCCGCACGAAAGGCGUAACGAUCUGGGCGCUGUCUCGGAGAGAGGCUCGGCGAAAUAGAAUUGUCUGUGAAGAUGCGGACUACGUGCACCCGGACAGAAAGACCCUAUGAAGCUUUACUGUAGCUUGGUAUUGUGCCCGGGCUCUGAAUGCGCAGGAUAGGUGGGAGGCUUUGAUCCAUUGCUUGUGGGUGAUGGUGAGCCAACGGUGAGAUACCACUCUUUCAGAGCUAGGGUUCUAACGGUCACCCGUCAUCCGGGGACCGGACAGUAUCAGGUGGGCAGUUUGACUGGGGCGGUCGCCUCCUAAAAGGUAACGGAGGCGCGCAAAGGUUUGCUCAGGCUGGUUGGAAAUCAGCCGACGAGUGUAAAAGCAGAAGCAAGCUUGACUGUGAGACCUACAAGUCGAACAGGGACGAAAGUCGGCUUUAGUGAUCCGACGGUUCUGAGUGGAAGGGCCGUCGCUCAACGGAUAAAAGUUACUCUAGGAUAACAGGCUGAUCUCCCCCAAGAGUUCACAUCGACGGGGAGGUUUGGCACCUCGAUGUCGGCUCAUCGCAACCUGUGGCUGAAGUCGGUCCCAAGGGUUGGGCUGUUCGCCCAUUAAAGCGGUACGCGAGCUGGGUUCAGAACGUCGUGAGACAGUUCGGUCCAUAUCCGGUGCAUGCGCAGGAAUAUUGAGAGGAUUUCUCCCUAGUACGAGAGGACCGGGAGGAACGCACCUCUGGUGUGCCAGUUAUCGUGCCAACGGUAAACGCUGGGUAGCCAUGUGCGUAGAGGAUAACCGCUGAAAGCAUCUAAGUGGGAAGCCCACCUCAAGAUGAGUAUUCCCAUGGCGUUAGCCAGUAAGGUCACGGGCAGAACACCCGUUGAUAGGCUCUACGUGGAAGCCGGGUAACCGGUGAAGCGGAGGAGUACUAAUAGACC